GCCGGUAUAGCUCAGCUGGUAGAGCGACUGACUUGUAAUCAGUAGGUCCCGAGUUCGACCCUUGGUGCCGGCACCA
rnacentral:tRNA from 1 species